UACGUAGGGGGCAAGCGUUGUCCGGAAUUAUUGGGCGUAAAGAGCGCGUAGGCGGUCCGAUAAGUCGGCUGUGAAAGUCCUGGGCUCAACCCUGGAAAGCCGGCCGAUACUGUCGGACUAGAGUCCGGAAGAGGCAAGUGGAAUUCCCGGUGUAGCGGUGAAAUGCGCAGAUAUCGGGAGGAACACCAAUGGCGAAGGCAGCUUGCUGGGACGGUACUGACGCUGAGGCGCGAAAGCGUGGGGAGCAAACAGG
rnacentral:rRNA from 1 species